GGAACAGAUUGAAGAUUUUACCAUCCAAAACCCACAAAGAGAAAACUCCUACUGUGGUCUUCAGAAUUUCCAUUCAGCUGAUUUGCCUGCCAAGUCCAGUGACCAGUACCGCCGCUCCUGAUGGUGGGGAGCAUAUGGUACUGCUGUGAAUAGUUUUGCUCUCACUGCUGUGAAAUCCCACGCCUUCCUACAGAAUGUGUUUGGAGGAGCAAAUGGAGAAAACAAAAGAUCCAAAUUUGCCUUCAAACACGGCCGGAAUGAGGUAGG
rnacentral:lncRNA from 13 species